rnacentral:rRNA from 1 species
UACGAAGGUGGCGAGCGUUAUCCGGAAUUACUGGGUGUAAAGGGCGUGUAGGCGGCACUGUAAGUCAGAUGUGAAAUCUCCCGGCUCAACCGGGAGAGUGCAUCUGAUACUGCAGUACUUGAGUGAUAGAGGGGAAAGCGAAAUUCCUAGUGUAGCGGUAAAAUGCGUGGAAAUUAUGAGGAACACCAGUGGCGAGGGCGGCUUUCGGGCUAAUAACUGACGCUAUGGCGCGAAAGCGUGGGGAGCAAACAGG